UACGUAGGGUGCAAGCGUUGUCCGGAAUUAUUGGGCGUAAAGGGCUCGUAGGCGGUCCAUCACGUCGGGAGUGAAAAGCUGGGGCUUAACCCCAGUCCUGCUUCCGAUACGGGUGGACUAGAGGUAGGCAGGGGAGAACGGAAUUCCUGGUGUAGCGGUGAAAUGCGCAGAUAUCAGGAGGAACACCGGUGGCGAAGGCGGUUCUCUGGGCCUUACCUGACGCUAAAGCGCGACAGCAUGGGGAGCAAAACGGGG
rnacentral:rRNA from 1 species